UAUUAGCUUUUCUCUAUAACAGUUUAUUUCAUCUAGUCUUAUAUCACUUCCUUGUCGAAGCUAUAAUGAGAUUUCCAUUUGAGAUAUUUCUUAUCUUACCAAUUAUCAUACAAGCGUUGGAUAUUCAGUGGGGUGCUUUUACACCCCAGAGUGAAUACCUAUGUCCACGUCCCAACGGAGGCGGAGUUAUUCCUUUUAGUAGAUUAAAAAUCGAGAAGCAAAUUUCCGCAGCCCUUAAUAAUCCUAAGGGACAAUAUCCUCAUCUAUUUCAUGAAGCACCUGCAGAGCCCCAGUGCGCUCAUCUAGUUGUUAAAGCAUAUCCUGCUUUUGCAUCAGGAAUAUACACUGGUGGAAAGCCUGGGCAUUAUAGGGUUCUUUUUGCAAGCAAUUACAUGCACCAAGUCUUCUUCUGCGGAAUGGUGUAUCAUAAUACGAAGCGUAAAUUCCUG
rnacentral:lncRNA from 1 species